rnacentral:lncRNA from 1 species
ACUCAUUUUUCAUCAAUUUAAUUCUCUUAAAUAGUAGUUAAAAUAUUACAAGCCUGUAGCAUAUAUUAUCUAGUCUCUGUGGGACGAUAUCUUUAACUAUAUUAGAAUUUGACAGAGUACGAGCAGGAAAGCCUGUAGCAUAGAUUAUCUAGUCUCUGUGGGAUGAUAUCUUUAACUAUAUUAGAAUUUGACAGAGUACGAGCAGGAAAUUCCAAUACAUAUUGGCCUCGUCACGUAGUCUCGAAGUAAACAAGCAGGUGGAUCUCCCGGAAUAAAGAUCCGUAGUCCCGAAGUAAACACACAACAGUCUCAAGAAUGAAUCCUACAAUUCUAUUCAAGUUCGUAUCAGGAAAACAAGAAAUUUCUACUUUAAACAUGCUACGCAAAAUCCAGGUAAGAAGUUAAAGCAGGUAAGACCGUUAAGUCACAUAAGCAUGCUUUCCUAAGCUAAACAUGAGGCUUCAUAUACUAGUGUUGCGCAGUUAAAAGAAAACACAUAUAUUUACUUGAUGAAAACAGGAUUUUUCAACAAUUAGCACAUGUACGCGCUCGUCACCUCACGUACACAACAUUCAUAUAACAACAGUACUAAAUCCCAAAGGGUGUUCCCUCACACAAGGUAAGACAAUCUACUUACCUUGAACCAACUCAAAAAUCAAUCCAAUAUCACGCUCUUGCCACGAGUAUCCAACUCCGAGCAGCCCAAAUCUAAUCAAAUCAAUUACAUAACAUAAAUAAAACUGCAAGAAUCUAGUUUAACUAAUGAAUUUGAAGCUAUGACGAGAAAUAAGAAAAAUGCCCAAAACUCUUCCCCGGUCCCAAGACUCGUACUCGGGUAAAAAUUAUGGAUUAUGAACGCCAAUUUACUUAAGCGUUCACUCGUACAAAAUCAUCCCAAUCCGUCAUCAAAUUCAUAUUCAAAACUCAAAUUUUCUAUUGGGAAACUUUUUCGCUCGUUUCCAGACUUCUACCCUCAAAUUCCUUUAUUAGAUGACAAAAAUAAUAAUAGAUUAAUGUAUUAGAACCAAUUUAUAGUUUGAAUUCGUUACCCAGUAGUUAUCCUUCAAAAUCUCUCAAGAAAUUCACCUAUUCCCGAGCUCAAAAUCAAAAUUUGAAGUUAUGAACUCAAACCCUCGAAGUUUCAUAUUUCUGUCCAGCGAUUACCACAUCUGCGGUCAUGAGGCCGCAUCUAUGACCAGAGAACCGCUCCUGCGAAAACUCAUUAAACCUCCAAGCACCGCACAUGCACUCCUCUCUUCGCAGAUGCGCUCCCGCUUCUGCAGUCCUUGAGCCGCAUCUACAUCCAACUGACCUCAUGCCUCAGACCGCAUCUACAGUCACCAAAACGCUUAUGUGAUGCCGUGCCUGCGGUCCAAAAUCUGCAGGUGCAAAAAUAAUAGGUUUAGCAAAUUCAGAAAUUGCCCAAGUCCAAAUUCCAAUCCGUUAAGCAUCUGAAACUCACCCGAGGCCCCCGGGACCUCAACCAAACAUACUAACGAGUCCUAAAAUAUCAUGCGGGCUCAAUCGAACCCUCAAUCACAUCAAACAAUUCCAAAAUCACGAAUUGCACUCCAAUCUAAGCCUAAUAAACUUGAAAUCCCAAGAAUUCUACAACUGAUGCCGAAACUAACCAAACCAUGUCUGAUUGACCUUAAAUUUUGCACAGAAGUCACAUGCAAUACUACAGAACUAUUCCAACUUUCAGAAUCGGAUUCCGACCUCGAUAUCAAAAUCUCGGUAUCGAUCCGGAAACUUCAAAAAUUCAACUUUUGGCAUUUCAAGCCUAAAUAAGUUACAGACCUCCAAAACACAAUCCGAAUACGCCUCUAAGCCUGAAAUCACCCAACGGUGCUAGCUGAAUUGACAGAAUCCCAUUCCGAGGCCGGCCUCAUACUAUUUCGACUACGGUCUAAAUUCUAAAGCUUAAACUUUCACUUAGGGACUAAAUGCGUCAAAACACUCUGAAACUCAAAAUGAAUCUUUCCGGUAAUUCAUGAUAGCAAAAACAAAAACAGAGAAAGCAGUUAAUAGGGAAUUGAUACAUUAAUUCUCAAAAUAACUGACCGAAUCGUUACAUAUAAUCUGUUGGAGAUGGUGGGGGAUUUUCCUUCCAAACAUCUUGAUGAUAAGUUAGAAUUUUCAUGGUUGAUAUAUCCUAAGUUUUUACUCCCGUGACAGUGGGGUUGGCUCUGUGCUCCCUAUGUUUGAAGUCGUUUCAAGCUCUAUUCCUGGUAGCAUUAUGGAUUGUAAACAUUUGACUUUGUCAAGUGUUUCUCUACUAGGAUUUCCUUGAAGGUAUUCUUGAUUGUUGGUUCCACAUCCAUUAGUGUAAUGUAAAUGUCCGGUAGUUCAAAGGAUUCCUGUAGCAAUGGGGUAUUGGGUCCUUUGCUAGCUGUGGGGAUAAAG